rnacentral:rRNA from 1 species
GACGAACGCUGGCGGCGUGCUUAACACAUGCAAGUCGAACGAAGUGGCGAACGGGUGAGUAAUACGUGGGUAACCUGCCCUCCUUUUUGGGAUAAGCCUUGGAAACGGGGUCUAAUACCGAAUAAAGGGGGAUGGGCUGGCGGCCUAUCAGCUUGUUGGUGGGGAGAUGGCCUACCAAGGCGGUGACCGGUAGCCGGCCUGAGAGGGUGACCGGCCACAGUGGGACUGAGCCACGGCCCAGACUCCUACGGGAGGCAGCAGUGGGGGAUAUUGCACAAUGGGCGAAAGCCUGAUGCAGAGACGCCGCGUGGGGGAUGAAGGCUUUCGGGUUGUAAAGCACUGUUAUCAGAGAGGCGGUAACUGAUCAGAAAGCCACGGCUAACUACGUGCCAGCAGCCGCGGUAAUAC